AAGACACAAAGAACUUUUGAAAGAGAGGCGAAAACAAACAAAGUCCUGGCUAGCGUUCAAAGACAAGACAGGCGGCUGCAAUUUGCCGCUCAACGCGCAGAAAAGCUCAUGAAGGCUUACAGAAACGUGGGCAAAGGGAGCUGGCUUUGGGAACCCCUAGUCAUGACGGGCUCACAUGACGCGAGGCGGGGUUUUGAGCCCCAGCUGCCCCACCCCGGGGCCCGGGCCCUGAAUGACCCAAAGCACCUCAUCUGUCACGGCGGGGACAGCUGUCAGCAGGCAGGCAGAGGCAGACACCGACCUGCGUCUUCCAGGUUCUGGACGACAGCUGAGACCAGCAGAGCCUGCUGGAGAUGCUGAUGCUGAUGCAGAAGAUGAAGAUUCUGUUAAUGAAGUGGCAGUAGAAGAUAUCCGUCCAAGGCCACAGGGAUCCUCUCCGGUUUAUGAAUAUUCCGUAGAAGAAGAAUAUUUAAAGGCAAGACACUGAGGUUUCGUGCAUGCGUGGAUUUAAUGAGUUGCAUGCGUGGAUUUAAU
rnacentral:lncRNA from 1 species